UAUGAAGAACGUAGCGAAAUGCGAUAAGUAAUGUGAAUUGCAGAAUUCAGUGAAUCAUCGAAUCUUUGAACGCACCUUGCGCCCUUUGGACAUUCCGAAGGGCAUGCCUGUUUGAGUAUCAUGAACACCUCAACUCUCACGGCUUGUCCGUGAUGAGCUUGGACUUUGGGGGUCUUGCCGGCCUGUGGUCGGCUCCUCUCAAAUGGAUCAGCUUGCCAGUGUUUGGUGGCAUCACAGGUGUGAUAACUAUCUGCGCUUGUGGUUUUCCAUCAGAUAACCUUCAGUGAUAUGGAGGUUCGCUGGAGCUCACAAAUGUCUCUCCUUAGUGAGGACAGCUCUUUGAACGUUUGAUCUCAAAUCAGGUAGGACUACCCGCUGAACUUAAGCAUAUCAAUAAGCGGAGGA
rnacentral:misc_RNA from 1 species